UACGUAGGGUGCAAGCGUUGUCCGGAAUUAUUGGGCGUAAAGAGCUCGUAGGCGGUCUGUCACGUCGGCUGUGAAAACCCGAGGCUCAACCUCGGGCCUGCAGUCGAUACGGGCAGACUAGAGUUCGGUAGGGGAGACUGGAAUUCCUGGUGUAGCGGUGAAAUGCGCAGAUAUCAGGAGGAACACCGGUGGCGAAGGCGGUUCUCUGGGCCUGUACUGACGCUGAGGAACGAAAGCGUGGGGAGCGAACAGG
rnacentral:rRNA from 1 species